rnacentral:tRNA from 1 species
GGAGAGGUGCGAGAGUGGUUGAAUCGGCCGGUCUCGAAAACCGGUAUACCUUAAUUGGUAUCAAGGGUUCGAAUCCCUUCCUCUCCG